rnacentral:rRNA from 1 species
AUGAACGCUAGCGGCAGGCUUAACACAUGCAAGUCGAGGGGCAGCAUACCCAGCAAUGGGUGAUGGCGACCGGCGGAAGGGUGCGUAACGCGUGAGCAACAUACCCUAUACAGGGGGAUAAGCCAGGGAAACUUGGUCUAAUAUCCCAUAGGAAAUAGAUAAGGCAUCUUAUUUAUUUUAAAGCUUCGGUGGUAUAGGAUUGGCUCGCGUGACAUUAGCUAGAUGGAGGGGUAACGGCCCACCAUGGCAAUGAUGUCUAGGGGUUCUGAGAGGAAGAUCCCCCACACUGGGACUGAGACACGGCCCAGACUCCUACGGGAGGCAGCAGUGAGGAAUAUUGGACAAUGGAUGGAAAUCUGAUCCAGCCAUGCCGCGUGCAGGAAGACGGCCCUAUGGGUUGUAAACUGCUUUUAUACGGGAGCAAUAAGGUCUAUGCAUAGAUUGAUGAGAGUACCGUAUGAAUAAGCAUCGGCUAACUCCGUG